GCAAAGAGGAGGAAUUCACCGAGGGGCGUGGGGGGAGGCAUUUGAGUUGGGUUUUAAAGGGUGGAUAAGAAUUCUCCAAAUGAAGAGGAGGAAGAGGAAGGGCAGGAACAAAGCCACGGGGUAGGGGAGAGGGCAGAAUCCAGGUUGUAUUAGUGGGCAGCACCCGAGGAACGUGAGCGACCCAGAAGCCCUCUCAUCCAAGCCCUCAUUUUAUGGAGGAAGAAACCCACGGCCAAGGUGAUUUGCUCAAGGUCACCUGGGCAGUGAGUGUCGGAGCAGUGGGGGCCAGUGGAAAGAGCUGCCAAGCGGGAGUCAGUUGUCACAUAUGUGCCUCAGACCCUCUGUGUGUCCUUCAACAAGUCACUUCCUCUUUUGGGGACUUCCUUCUAAGUCAUCCAGAGCAGUAAAUUGAGGAUGUUCAGGAAAAGACCAAGAGUUGGAAGAGAUCUCAGAAACCAUCCAGUCCAACUGACGCUCCGGGAAGAAUCCCUUCUACUCUCACAUGACAUAGGGUUCAACAGGUCUCCACUUGAAGACCUACAUGGAUGGGGAACUCACUCCUUAACCAGGCAGUCUAUUCCAUUUCUGGACGACUAAUUGCUGGACUUGCUUGUCUUCCAGUGAGCUGUGUAAUCUAUCACUCUGCAGAUCCAGGAUCUACCUGCUGAUCCAAUUCUGCCAUUUGAGAUUGAGCAGAACAGGUCAGACCCUCCUCCGUGUGACAGACCUUGCUUCAUAUAAAGGGCUCUACCCUA